rnacentral:lncRNA from 1 species
UUGCAACAUCUAGAAAAAAAAAACUUUGCAACAAAUCAACUUUGUUAUUGAAGCAUCCAUCAGGAACUUGAAAUAUUCUUUGAAAACUACUGCAACAUCAAGAGCGAACCAUUGCAACAAGAGUACUCUUGCAACAAAAUUACCUAAACUUUUGCAUGAAAUUCAAUAUGGCUUGAGACGCUUGGAGGUGAGAAGGGGCUUGCAGCCCCGCCACCAGCGACAAGAUCCGGUCAGUAAUCGAUGUCAGGGCGAGGACAUGCAGCUUGCGCGACGACAGCGAGGCGAGUACUCUAGGGAGAUGCAUCAGUUGAAGCUACGCUGCACAUCAGCGCAUGGCUGCCGUCCUCAAGCCAGGGUACUGCACAUCGCAACCGGGUGCCCCACGCUAGUCCCAAUUCUUCCUCCGCGUCGCUGCUACCUGCUUGGCAGUCGGGCGUCCUACUCAAAAAACCUGGGCCCCCGCAUCAAUGGGGAGCCAAAGCAAAAGGUGGAUCUCAAAGGAAGAAAUGAAACAACAGCAGAAGGGAGAAGAUAAGACCGUCAGAGUGCAGGUGUGGUUAGAAGAGCGUGCGGUGGGACG